GUGAUCGCUUUGGCAGCACAUACACUAAAACUGGAAUGAUAGAGAAGAUUAGCAUAGCCCCUGUGCAAGGAUAACAUGCAAAUUCAUGAAGCAUUCCGUAUUUUU